AGCAGUCUGAUUCAAGUCUUAAACACUCACAGAUUGUUCACAUAAGUUGAGUGUAAAUGUGCAAUGUUUACAUGCAGGUGAUACAAUGUAAUAGCCAAAGGCAGAGAAGAGGAUCAAGGAAAUUGAAUGACCGCAAGAAAUACGUCUUUCCUACUCAAAAGAAGAACCCAAGUAUUUUUUUCCCAAGAAAUGACAGCUUUCAAUGCUGCAAGGGACAUGGCAGUGCUCGCUACUAGACAAGAUUACAAGUAUCAACAGAACCGUGUAAAAGUUUGAUUUUGUGGUUUACCUAGGAGGUAAUGUAAUUAGUGUUAAAACAUUAAAUGUAUUUCAGGAUAACAUUCAAUUCACAGCUGAAGCCGGUGGGGAGAUCAGCAGGGCUGUGUUGAACGGAGACCUGAGUAUGAAGAAAAUUGAACCAACAGUCAGAGAUGGAGGGGUUUAAAGAGCAUCUCAGAGCAGUCCUUUCCCUCACAGCUCUCAGUGUGACUGGACUGCGUGUCUCAUCCUCCAGAGCAUGGCCUGGCCCCUCACAGGGAGGUUCUGGCUGAAGUCUCUGUGAUCAUCAUUCAUUUCUCCCUUACUCCUGCUUUCCUUCAGCAUGCAGAGAAUGACCUUCUUAGCAAGAGUUAUUCAAGACCCUGAGGCAGACUCCGUCAGCAGCUGAGAUCCCUGACCCUGCUUUGCUUUCUCUGGUGUAAGGUCUGACAUGGUAGUAAGUGGGUACGUUGGUGGCCAACCCUGUGACUUUAGCUGAAGAAACUGGUCAACAAAUCCUUUUGCUGCCACUCUACCUCUGGUAUGUCAGCAUGGGGGAACUAGGGCAUAAAUCUUCCGACCUUUUUCCUUUGGUCCCCCUAGACUUGGUGUUCUGGUUCUGGGAGGCUGAUGGACAAAUCUCUCAGCUUCUCUUUGGUUUUCCAAUAUUGCAAGAUCACUGUUGCCACUGACAAGAAAAUGGGAGGAAAGUUGUUAAUGAAUUGAUCUUUAUGGCUCUAGAAGCUUUCAGUGAAGAUCCUCUGCUCCCAUUUUCUCUCCAGUGCCAUCCAUUCUGGUUUUCUCUUCAAUAAUUUCCAUUCUAAUAACCUUAGGUAUCUCUACUUAAGGUUAUAUCUACACAGAUAAUUUUCUGUGUGACAAUGGAACACUUGAUUUUGAAUACCAGAAAAUUUAAUCUGGAAUAAAAUAAUGGUUUGACUCUGUAGCCUUUUGGUUCUACAAAAUAAAAGUAUAGAUACAUAAGCAUUCCCAGUCUGGAUUAGACUUUAGAUAGGUCUAGUAUUAUACCUUAUAUUUAGAGGUGACAAGAAUGAUGAAGAAGAACGUAGAAGUAGAUGAACAGCUGGCAGAUAAAGAUACUUUUGUCCUCAGUGCAUAUCAUCCACAUCUGUAAUGGUUGAAGAUAGACCUGGA